CCUAGAGUUGUAGGCUUUGCCUGCUAUCUCUUACCCAUGUCUUUUGAGUACCUUCGUUUCCUCGGCGGGUCCGCCCGCCGAUUGGACAUAUUCAAACCCUUUGCAGUUGCAAUCAGCGUCUGAACAAACUUAAUAGUUA
rnacentral:misc_RNA from 1 species